GAAAAGUAAUUUAUAAAAAGUAGUAAUAUUUAAUGACCCUAAAAAAAAACUAUAGCUUAAGAGUACUGUAAAGGAAAGUAUAAAAUUAAAUAUAAUAAAAAUAGUAAGUAUUAAUUGCUGUACCUUUUGUAUUAGGGAUAAUCAAAAUAGCUUAAUUAAUUUAAACUUCCCGAAAUAAGAACAGUUAAUCUUAUAAAAUUGUUUUUGUAGAAUAAAAAUGUUGAAUAUAAGAUUAAAGAUGAAAUGUCAUUCGAGUCUUGUAAUAUCUGGUUUUCUUAGAAAUAAAUUAAAUUUAGACUUUAAGCAAAGAAGGUUUAAGGUUAAAGUAUAGGAGGGAUUAGCUUCUUAUAUAAAUAUAAUAAAAUAGUUAAAUAUAAAGGAAAAAAUUAAAUUAGGCUUAAAAGUAGCCAUAUUAAAAAAGUGUUUUUACUAAAUUGAUUAAAAAUAAUAUUUAUAUUAACUUUUUAAAAAUAUAAGAAAAUUAUUAACAAUAAAAGAUAAUAAGAUAAAAUGAUUAUAUUAGUAAAGUUUAUUGUCAAUAAAAAAAAAAUAAAAUAGUAAUUAAAAUAUAAUAUAAAAGUGGAAUAAUAAAGGAAAACAAAGACAUGUCUGUUUGAAGUUAUAAAAAGUCUGGCCUGCCCACUGAUUAUUUUGAAGGGCCGCGGUAUUUUGACCGUGCAAAGGUAGCAUAAUCGUUAGGUUUUUAAUUGAAAUCUUGUAUGAAUGGUUUGACAAAGAAAAGUCUGUCUUUAUUUUUAAAGAUUGAAUUUAACUUUUAAGUGAAAAGGCUUAAAUAAAUUAAAGGGACGAUAAGACCCUAUAAAACUUUAUAUAAAAUGUAUAUUUGGUUAAAUUUAUAAAUAAAAAUUAAGUAUAAAUUUAUAUUUUGUUGGGGCGACAAGAAUAUAAUGUUUGAUAACUGUUAAAAUUUAAAAACAAAAAUAUAUGAUUAGGUAAAUAUAAAUGAUCCUAUUUAAAGAUUAUAAGUUUAAGUUACUUUAGGGAUAACAGCGUUAUUCUUUUUGAGAGUUCUUAUCGAAAAAAGAGUUUGCGACCUCGAUGUUGAAUUAAAAAUUCCU
rnacentral:rRNA from 1 species